rnacentral:rRNA from 1 species
GACAGAGGUCCCGAGCGUUAGGCGGAAUCACUGGGCUUAAAGCGUGUGUAGGCGGAUGCCUAAGUACCUUGUGAAAUCCCAUGGCUCAACCAUGGAACUGCUUGGUAUACUGGGUGUCUUGAGCCAAUUAGGGGCAAGUGGAACAAACGGUGGAGCGGUGAAAUGCGUAGAUAUCGUUUGGAACGCCAAUGGUGAAAACAACUUGCUGGGGGUGUGCUGACGCUGAGACACGAAAGCCAGGGGAGCAAACGGG